rnacentral:rRNA from 1 species
AUGGAUUAUUUGGCCAUAGUCGUGGCACUCGUUGUUGUCACCGCCUCGUCCAUUGCCAUCCACCUCCUCGCCAGAGCCAAGAAAGCACGGCCGGGCAACCUUCCCCCGGGCUCCCUCGGCCUGCCGGUUAUCGGCCAGAGCCUCGGCCUCCUUCGGGCCAUGCGCGGCGACGGCGGCAGCCGCUGGAUCCAGGACCGGAUCGACAGGUACGGGCCCGUGUCCAAGCUGUCACUGUUCGGCAGGCCGACGGUGCUCCUGGCCGGGCCGGCGGCCAACAAGUUCCUGUUCUUCAGCGGCGCUUUCUCCACCCGGCAGCCCCGGUCCGUGCAGCGGAUACUCGGGGAGAAGAGCAUCCUCGACCUCCACGGCGCCGACCACCGGCGCAUCCGCGGCGCCCUGCUCGAGUUCCUCAGGCCGGACAUGCUCAAGGCGUACGUGGGCAGGAUCGACGGCGAGGUGCGGCGCCACCUCCAGGAGAACUGGGCCGGCCGCGCCACCGUCACGGUGCUGCCGCUCAUGAAGCGGCUCACGUUCGACAUCAUCUCAGCGCUGCUCUUCGGUCUCGAGAGGGGCGCCGUGCGGGACGCCCUGGCCGCCGACUUCGUGCGCAUGGUCGAGGGCAUAUGGGCCGUCCCGGUGAACCUGCCGUUCACGGCCUUCAGCCGGAGCCUCAAGGCUAGCGGCAGAGCCCGCCGGGUGCUCCAGGAGAUCACCCGGGAGAAGAAGAAGGCCAGCCAGGUGGAGGUGGAGCACGGCAACGGCAAGGCGUCGCGGAACAGCGACCUCAUCACCUGCCUGCUCAGCCUGAGGGACGGCCAUGGCGAGCGGCUGCUGACCGACGAGGAGAUCGUCGACAACGCCAUGGUCGCCCUCAUCGCCGGCCACGACACGUCGUCCAUCCUUAUGACGUUCAUGGUCCGCCACCUUGCCAGCGACGAUGCCACCCUCGCCGCCAUGGUUCAAGAGCAUGAGGAGAUCGCCAAGAACAAAGGUGACGGCGAGGCUCUCACCUGGGAAGAUCUGGCGAAGAUGAAGCUCACAUGGCGGGUCGCGCAGGAGACGCUCCGCGUCGUCCCUCCGAUCUUCGGCAACUUCAGAAGAGCACUCGAGGACACCGAGUUCGAUGGCUACCUCAUCCCAAAAGGAUGGCAGGUGUUCUGGACGGCAAACGUGACGCACAUGGACGCGAGCAUCUUCCACGAGCCGGCCAAGUUCGACCCGUCCCGGUUUGAGACCGAGAACCAAAGGGCGUCGGCGGCGCCGCCGUUCUCCUUCGUCGCCUUCGGGGGCGGCCCGAGGAUCUGCCCAGGGAUAGAGUUUUCCAGGAUCGAGACGCUGGUGACGAUGCACCACCUUGUGAGGCAGUUCAGAUGGAAGCUCUGCUGCAAGGAGGACACCUUCGUGAGGGACCCCAUGCCGUCGCCGCUGCUCGGCCUGCCCGUCCAAAUCGAGCACAGGGCCUCUCCUUGA